rnacentral:rRNA from 1 species
CCUACGGUGAGCAGCAGUGAGGCAUAUUGGUCAAUGGGCGGAAGCCUGAACCAGCCAAGUCGCGUGAGGGAUUAAGGCCCUGCGGGUCGUAAACCUCUUUUGCCGGGACGCAGAGGUCCGGACGUUUCCGGGCCGGGAGAGUACCCGGAGAAACAGCAUCGGCUAACUCCGUGCCAGCAGCCGCGGUAAUACGGAGGAUGCGAGCGGUAUCCGGAUUUAUUGGGUUUAAAGGGUGCGUAGGCGGGCCUUUCAGCCGGCGGUCAAAUGUCGGGGCUAAACCCCGGCCUGUCGUCGGAACUGGGUGCCUUGAGUGGGCGAGAAGUAUGCGGAAUGCGUGGUGUAGCGGUGAAAUGCAUAGAUAUCACGCAGAACCCCGAGUGCGAAGGCAGCAUACCGGCGCCCUACUGACGCUGAGGCACGAAAGUGCGGGUAUCGAACAGGAUUAGAUACCCGAGUAGUC